rnacentral:rRNA from 1 species
GACGUUAGCUGCAGAAGAAGCACCGGCUAACUCCGUGCCAGCAGCCGCGGUAAUACGGGAGGGUGCGAGCGUUAAUCGGAAUUACUGGGCGUAAAGCGCAUGCAGGUGGUUUUGUUAAGUCAGAUGUGAAAGCCCCGGGGCUCAACCUCGGAAUUGCAUUUGAAACUGGCAAACUAGAGUACUGUAGAGGGGGUAGGAAUUUCAGGUGUAGCGGUGAAAUGCGUAGAGAUCUGAAGGAAUACCGGUGGCGAAGGCGGCCCCCUGGACCAGAUACUGACACUCAGAUGCGAAAGCGUGGGGAGCAAACAGGAUUAGAUACCCUGGUAG